UUCUGUCCAUUUCUCAAUUUAUUUUUUGAUUUUCUUUCCAUUUCGUGAGUUCAACACACCAAUACAGCAAUACCCAGGCCAGGUUUGAUUUCUUUUAAUUUCCCUUUUGUUUUUUUUUUCCAAUUUCUUCAAUGGAUUGUAUUUUUGGCAGGUAUAUUUGAGGGUUUUAUUUUGUUUUGUUUAUAUUACUUUUUGUAGAUUACUUUUUUGUGUUCAACUAUGGCUGGUACUUCACAUUUGUACAAGGAUUCGUCUACCUUUUUUUUAUUUACCUUCAAGGUUUCAGUCCAAAGAAAAUGGUGAACCCAUGGAAGACUUAUGCAAAACUCUCUGUUUUUCUCAUAUUCAUAGGUUCUCACGGCCUCACGAAAGGAUCUUUAGCUUUCCUCAAUUACCCAGCACAACUCAUGUUCAAAUCCACCAAAGUAAACCCCCAAAGUUGAAAAUACCCAGCACCCGAAUAAGUUUCUGCAAUACUUUUAGUACUAGGUUUGAUCCAGCACACGAGUUAUAAGUUUGUUGUCUUAUUUUUUACUUGUUUGAUUCAUUUCUUUCGGUUUAACGAUGAAUGUUGGUGGUGAAACAGAGUAGAAUUGCGUAAAUGGAAAUUUGACUUUUUUUUUAAUUUUUGCUUUUGUAAUUUGGUUUUUUGAUUGGAAGACAGUUGUAGGUUUUAUGCAGAGUAAAAUGUUUCCUUUGAGUUUUUUUUGAAUAUCCUUUUUGUUGGUGAAGUUUUUGUUUUCAGAUUUCUUCCAUUUCAAUUUGAAGCCUUUUAUAUUUUGUUCCAGUGUUCUUCAGUUUGCUAAUUUAAGUUCAUUUCUCAGUUCAAUUCCAAACUUCUCUUCUCUCUUAUUUAUUUGAUAAUUAUCUUUUAGGUAGUAUCAUUUGACAAGUAUGUGAUACUGUUUUUUACUGUAGAAAUCACACUAUCUCGUAUUAAAAUAUGUCAUUUUUGAAAUUAUUUUAUUUUUUUAUGUUAUUUUGAUAAAAAUCCUUUAAAAUUUUUCGAUAAAUAAAAAAUUUUACAAAUGAUUAGGAAAUAAUUUUCUAAAAAUAAAAUAGUAUUUAUGUAUUUAUACAAUAUAAAUUGAAUUGAUAUGUUGAAGGAAGAUAAAUUAUUAUUUGAUAUAUUAAUUAUCGUGGCUUUUUUAUUUUAUAAGCAAAAUUAAAUAAUCACUAUGUUGUUCAUUUAUUUAUUUUUAAAGUAUUAAUUAACAAUAUUUUAACUAUCAUUUAUGAAAUUAUUUCAUUUGAAUAAAUUCAUGAGAAAGAGUUUAUGGUUUAAAGUUAUUUAUAUAUAAUAUGAUAUAUAUUAUAUAUAUAAAAGAAAAACAAUAAUGUUUAGCCCCAGAAUUCGGUGAUUGAAAUAUAAUACAAAGUUUAUUUUGGAAUUGGAAUGAUGUAUUAAUGUUGGAACAAUGUGCUAAUGCACUUAUUUCAAUAGUGGUGAUUCCAAUACAAUAUUAUGUUUGUGGUGAUUUUAAUAUGAUACUAAGUUUGUUUUAAAUGUUAGACUAGAAUUGUACCGACUCAAUUUGCAUUGUUGACUCUUCUAAUGCUUGUGUUUUUGCUAACCAAUUUCAACCUUUGUCUCUCCGAAUUGAUGACUCGAUAUUAUUUUAAUUUAUUAUAUACUCUUUUUUCUUGCAGAAUGUCAACCAAACCAACAUCUAUUGAGGGUAGUGUUACACCUCCUACAUCGAUAGAUUCUAAAUAUUCGGGAGUUGGAACUUCAAGCUAAGCAAAUGGGACUACUGGGAAAAGAAAAACUGCUCUUCAAAGGUCAGAAGUUUGGUCUCACUUCACUAAGAUUAUUAAUAGUGAGGGUGAAAGUAAGGCUAAAUGUAAUUAUUGUCAAAAGGAAUUUUGUUGUGAUAUGAAAAAAAUGGUACAUGGUCAUUGAAAUAUCAUAUUGGUUCAUGUAAGAAAAAUCCUAGUAAUGUUGUUGAAAAUACUCAAGGACAACUAGUUUUACCUAGAAAGGGAGUUGAAGGGGGGGAAAGGAAUCUUUCAACUUGGAGAUUUGAUCAAGAAGCAUGUAGGAAAUGAUUAGCACAAACGAUUGUGAUUGAUGAAUUACCUUUCAAGUUUGUUGAAAGUGAAGGUUUUAAGAAAUUUAUGUUUGUGGCAUGUCCUAGGUUUCAUAUUCCUUCACGAACUACUAUGACUAGGGAUGUUUAUCAAUUGUAUUUAGAUGAAAGGAUCAAGAUAAAAUAACUUUUGAGAAGUUCUUGUUCUAGAGUUUGCUUAACUACUGACACAUGGACUUCUUUGCAAAGAGUUAAUUAUUUGUACAUCACUGCUCACUUUAUUGAUAAUGAUUGGAAAUUGAAUAAAAAGAUUUUAAAUUUUUCUCCAAUUUCUAGUCAUAAGGGUGAGUCCAUUGGGAUGGUGAUUGAGAAAUGCUUGUUGAAUUGGGGGAUUGAUAAGUUGCUUACUGUUACUGUUGAUAAUGCAAGUUCAAAUGAUGUUGCUAUUGGUUAUUUGAGAAAGAAAUUUGACCCUCGAGGGGGUUUAGUUCAAAAUGGUAAAUAUCUUCAUAUAAGAUGCAUAGCACACAUUGUGAAUUUGAUUGUUGUUGAAGGCUUAAAGGAAAUGAAUAAAUCUGUUGAACGUGUUAGGGGGCUGUUAGAUAUGUGAGACAAUCUCCAGCUAGAAUACAAAAGUUUAAGGAAUGUGUUGUGGUGGAAAAGAUAGAGUGCAAGAAGAUGUUGUGUCUUGAUGUUUGUACUAGGUGGAACUCAACCUACUUCAUGUUAGACACUGCUCAGAAAUUUGAGAGAGCUUUUGAGAGAUUUGAGGAGCAAGAUACAAACUUUAGGGCUGAACUUGAAAGGGGAGAGGUUUGGCCUAGUGUGGAUGAUUGGGAUAAUGUUAGAAACUUGAGGGAUUUCUUGGAACACAUUUAUGAAGUCACUUUGCGUAUAUCUGGCACUUCAUAUGUCACGUCCAAUAAUUUUUGUGAUGAGCUUUCUGAAAUUGAUAUUCUUUUACGAGAUGCUCAGUUAAAAAGUAAUGUUGAUUUCAGUGUUAUGGCCAUCAAGAUGAAAGAGAAGUAUGAUAAGUAUUGGGGUGAUGUUGAUAAGAUGAAUUUGCUUAUGUUUGUUGCUUGUAUUUUAGAUCCUAGACAAAAACUAAAGUAUCUUGAAUUUGCACUUAGUGAAAUGUCUAGUUCUGAAAAAGCUUGUGAAACGAUGCAAAAAUUGAAGGAAUCUUUGUAUGAAUUGUUUGAUGAGUAUAAGCCUCCAUUUCAUAGCACUUGUAGCCAAUUGAGUGUGCCAACACAUGUUUCUCUCAGUGAACCACAACAAAAAAUGAAAAGGUGAAUGCAAGCUUUGUAUAAAAAGCUUGAGUUGGAAAUUUGUGGUAAGGAUAAAACAUCUGAGUUGGAUAAAUAUCUAGCUGAGGCUAAUGAGGAAUUUGUUGAAGAUUUUGAGAUUUUAUUGUGGUGGAAAGUGAAUAGCCCUAGAUUUCCCACUCUUUUAAAAAUGGCCAGAGAUGUGUUAGCUAUACCGGUUUCUACGGUUGCUUCAGAGUUUGCAUUUAGCACCGAAGGACGUGUCUUUGAUCAAUAUAGGAGUUCUUUAACUCCUAAAAUUGUACAAGCUCUUGUGCGUACUCAAGAUUGGAUUCGAAAAUCAUCAUCACAAGAAGACAUCAAAAAGAUUGAAGAACAAAUCCAAGAUCUCGACAAGAUUGAAAAUGGUAUAUUUAUUGUUUUAUUUUAAUAGUUUCAAUUUUUUUACCAUAUCAUUCCUACUUAUUUAAUUGAUUCAAUGUUUAGACUUUUAUUGCAAUGCAUCAGAGCCUACCCUAAAUUCAUGAGCUUUCAUGAGUUGAAGGGUAUGCUUACUAUCUUAUUCUUGUUAACUUAUAAUUUAUUCGUUUGUUUAUAUUAUUUAAUUUUUUUUAAAAUGCAUAUAUUUCUAUUAUAUGCUAAUUUUUUGUACAUGUUUUUUUUGUAGGAUUAAUACAAAUGGAGAUUUUUUGGAGAGAUGAAAUGGAUAUAAAUGGAGAAUAUUAAAGACUUACAUUUUAAUUAUGUGUUAAUUUUAAGACUUAUGUAAUGUUUUUAAUUAUGUAGUGAUUCAAAGACUUAUGUAAUGUUUUUAAUUAUGUAGUGCUUCAAUUCGGUUAAAUUGGUUAAAUCGAUU
rnacentral:lncRNA from 1 species